rnacentral:tRNA from 1 species
AAUCCGUCGAUUUUCGAAAUCGUGAGGGUUCAAGUC